AGAGUUUGAUCCUGGCUCAGAUUGAACGCUGGCGGAAUGCUUUACACAUGCAAGUCGAACGGCAGCACGGGAGCUUGCUCCUGGUGGCGAGUGGCGAACGGGUGAGUAAUGCGUCGGAACGUACCGAGUAAUGGGGGAUAACGCACCGAAAGGUGUGCUAAUACCGCAUACGCCCUUAGGGGGAAAGCAGGGGAUCGCAAGACCUUGCGUUAUUCGAGCGGCCGACGUCUGAUUAGCUUGUUGGUGAGGUAAUGGCUCACCAAGGCGACGAUCAGUAGCGGGUCUGAGAGGAUGAUCCGCCACACUGGGACUGAGACACGGCCCAGACUCCUACGGGAGGCAGCAGUGGGGAAUUUUGGACAAUGGGGGCAACCCUGAUCCAGCCAUUCCGCGUGAGUGAAGAAGGCCUUCGGGUUGUAAAGCUCUUUCAGCAGGAACGAAACGGUACGCUCUAACAUAGCGUGCUAAUGACGGUACCUGCAGAAGAAGCACCGGCUAACUACGUGCCAGCAGCCGCGGUAAUACGUAGGGUGCGAGCGUUAAUCGGAAUUACUGGGCGUAAAGCGUGCGCAGGCGGAUUGUUAAGCAAGACGUGAAAUCCCCGGGCUUAACCUGGGAAUGGCGUUUUGAACUGGCAGUCUAGAGUGUGUCAGAGGGGGGUGGAAUUCCACGUGUAGCAGUGAAAUGCGUAGAGAUGUGGAGGAACACCAAUGGCGAAGGCAGCCCCCUGGGAUAACACUGACGCUCAUGUACGAAAGCGUGGGUAGCAAACAGGAUUAGAUACCCUGGUAGUCC
rnacentral:rRNA from 1 species